rnacentral:rRNA from 1 species
AUUGAACGCUGGCGGCAUGCCUUACACAUGCAAGUCGAACGGUAACAGGUCUUCGGAUGCUGACGAGUGGCGAACGGGUGAGUAAUACAUCGGAACGUGCCUAGUAGUGGGGGAUAACUACUCGAAAGAGUGGCUAAUACCGCAUGAGAUCUACGGAUGAAAGCAGGGGAUCGCAAGACCUUGUGCUACUAGAGCGGCCGAUGGCAGAUUAGGUAGUUGGUGGGAUAAAAGCUUACCAAGCCGACGAUCUGUAGCUGGUCUGAGAGGACGAUCUGCCACACUGGGACUGAGACACGUACCAGACUCCUACGGGAGGCAGCAGUGGGGAAUUUUGGACAAGGGGCGCAAACCUGGUCCAGCAAUGCCGCGUGCAGGAUGAAGGCCUUCGGGUUGUAAACUGCUUUUGUACGGAACGAAAAGCCCUGGGUUAAUACCCUGGGGUCAUGACGGUACCGUAAGAAUAAGCACCGGCUAACUACGUGCCAGCAGCCGCGGUAA